rnacentral:rRNA from 1 species
AUACGAAAGGUGCAAGCGUUGUUCGGAUUUACUGGGCGUAAAGAGAGUGUAGGUUGUUUAUUAAGUCGGAUGUGAAAUCCCGGGGCUCAACCUCGGAACUGCAUUCGAUACUGAUAGGCUAGAGUUUGUGAGGGGUAAGCGGAAUUCCGUGUGUAGCAGUGAAAUGCGUAGAUAUACGGAGGAACACCUGAGGCGAAGGCGGCUUACUGGACCAAUACUGACACUGAGACUCGAAAGCGUGGGUAGCAAACAGCAUUAGAAACCCCAGUAGUCC